rnacentral:rRNA from 1 species
UACGUAGGGUGCGAGCGUUUGUCCGGAAUUAUUGGGCGUAAAGAGCUCGUAGGCGGUUUGUCGCGUCUGCUGUGAAAACGCGAGGCUCAACCUCGCGCCUGCAGUGGGUACGGGCAGACUAGAGUGCGGUAGGGGGAGAUUGGAAUUCCUGGUGUAGCGGUGGAAUGCGCAGAUAUCAGGAGGAACACCGAUGGCGAAGGCAGAUCUCUGGGCCGUUACUGACGCUGAGGAGCGAAAGCGUGGGGGAGCGAACAGG